GUGCUUUGCGCGAGGAAUGGUAACGCAGUUUAAAUUCGGCUCAGGCGGGAGAGGCGCGCGAGGCGACGCUGCCGCGGGGGGAGGGGGCGCUGCCCGCCGCCGCCCUGCCCCCCUGCCCACCCCCCCCCCCGCGGGGGCGGACCCGCUCCGCCCGGGCUCCCCUGUGGCGAGGGGGGAGCAGGUUUCUCCCUCCCCCGUGGCCGCUGCCGUGGCGCCUCGGGACCGGCCCCGCGGGGGAGGCCUGGCGCGGUGCCCACCGCCUGCUGUUGUAGGGACCGGGCAGCUGGCAGCGUCCCUGCCGCGGCUCCCCCGGCACCGGCUUCCCCGGCGCGAUCGGCUUGCAGGGCUUGUCACACGCUCGUCCGCAGUUGGCUCAAGCGGCUGCCUUACAAAUACAUUUAAAGCGUCUUCUCCCACAGGAAGCGAAUUUUUUGUUACCGGUAGCGAAGUGCUCAACUUCACCAGCCUGGAGAAGAAACCCAGCCAGGACAGCGUAGCGAACCUCUUACUGUAACUGCUGCGCUUGCGAUGAAUGUUAGGUUAAAAAAAUGCUGGAAUCCUUUCUAACGUAUUGAAAAAUGUGAAAGACCAGCAGAUUUCUGUGAAGCAGGGUCCAUAAAAAAUCCUUCGCACAAAACUGUCCUUUAUUCCCUGGAUGGUAUGAAGUUGGCGUACCCAGCUCUACACUUUUCAUUUUUGCUCCUUGGGAACAGCAUUCUCCAGACAAGGCUGCCUGGUCAGUACUGCUGGCACACUUUCACCCAUUUGGAGAGCCCCCAUUUUACACUUCCGCUCUCCUUGUCUGACUCGAGCAAAAGGACAAGCCCCUGAAAGUCUUACCUAUUUAAAGCAAUUAGGCCCCCCUUUAAAAUUAAAAAAAAAAAAAAUUCACGUCCUCCGUUUCCUCCGAGAUAACAAGUUAAGGCAAAGGAAGAAGAAAAAAGAGAAAACGAAGGGAAAACAAAAAAAAAAAUGACCCCGACGUGAUUCGAACACGCAGCCUUCUGAUCUGGAGUCAGACGCGCUACCGUUGCGCCACGAGGUCCUGCUGGGCAGGGGCGCGCAGAGCCUUAGAACGCGCCCAUCACAGACCGCCAGCGGGACACGGGCCGGGCGGGCCUCGGGGGCCGGCGAAGACCCUUUCUCACCCACCUGUGGCGACCUCACAGGUAACAACCGCAGGGCCUCUGCGGCCCCUCUCCUCCGCCACUGCUUCCGUUCCCGCCGCAGCAAAUUUGAAACGUACAAGAGGACUCUGCAGAGCCAAAGCCAAGGAUCUGAAGAGACUCUAAAAGAAGAACAAGGGGUCUAAUGGCCACUGCAGUCCAAGGAGGACAUCUUGCAAAACUAUGAGGAGCUUAAGCAAGUUCACCAUUUUAGGGAAGCACUAAGAUGAAUGUAAGUGUGAUGGCUACUCUGCACUGAUGGAGGAAUUUUGCAAGAAGAGAAGCAGAGCUGUUGACAACCAGGACCUCUUCAUUUCCCAGGUAUCCUCUGCAAGGCCCCAGGAUCAAGUGAGACAAAGUUUGCAACAGCCCACUUAAGAUGGUCUCUCCCUAUAUAUUCUUUGUUAUGUUUUUCCACAUUUUCAAUUUCUUAACGUAUCGCUAAGGGUGUUUUAUCAGAAAAGCAGCUUGGUAUUGACAGGCCCUGGCCAUACCUUAACCCCCUGUCCUGCUCCUGCAUGCCCACUCCAGCCUGUCAUACUUCCUUCCAUGCUGUCCUAGGAUUUUUGCCACAUAUCAGUGGUCUUGCUCACUCCAUGGCCUGGCACUUAUGUUGUAUUAGCUUAAGUUGUUGUAAACAUAUGCUGGUAAUUAAAAUAAAGCGCUGAUCACAGGCACA